rnacentral:rRNA from 1 species
UUGCACGCUGGCGGCAGGCCUAACCCCUGCCAGUCGAACGGUAACAGGAAGAAGCUUGCUUCUUUGCUGACGAGUGGCGGACGGGUGAGUAAUGUCUGGGAAACUGCCUGAUGGAGGGGGAUAACUACUGGAAACGGUAGCUAAUACCGCAUAACGUCGCAAGACCAAAGAGGGGGACCUUCGGGCCUCUUGCCAUCGGAUGUGCCCAGAUGGGAUUAGCUAGUAGGUGGGGUAACGGCUCACCUAGGCGACGAUCCCUAGCUGGUCUGAGAGGAUGACCAGCCACACUGGAACUGAGACACGGUCCAGACUCCUACGGGAGGCAGCAGUGGGGAAUAUUGCACAAUGGGCGCAAGCCUGAUGCAGCCAUGCCGCGUGUAUGAAGAAGGCCUUCGGGUUGUAAAGUACUUUCAGCGGGGAGGAAGGGAGUAAAGUUAAUACCUUUACUCAUUGACGUUACCCGCAGAAGAAGCACCGGCUAACUCCGUG